GAUGAAGAACGUAGCGAAAUGCGAUAAGUAAUGUGAAUUGCAGAAUCCAGUAAAUCAUCGAAUCUUUGAACGCACAUUGCGCCCGCCAGCAUUCUGGCGGGCAUGCCUGUUCGAGCGUCAUUUCAACCCUCGACCUCCCUUUGGGGAAGUCGGCGUUGGGGACCGGCAGCACACCGCCGGCCCUGAAAUGGAGUGGCGGCCCGUCCGCGGCGACCUCUGCGUAGUAAUCCAACUCGCACCGGAACCCCGACGCGGCCACGCCGUAAAACACCCAACUUCUGAACGUUGACCUCGAAUCAGGUAGGACUACCCGCUGAACUUAAGCAUAUCAAUAAGCGGAGGA
rnacentral:misc_RNA from 1 species